rnacentral:rRNA from 1 species
GUCCGCGGCCCAUCAGCUAGUUGGCGGUGUAAUAGACCACCAAGGCUAAGACGGGUAGGCUGGUCUGAGAGGAUGACCAGCCACACUGGGACUGAGACACGGCCCCAGACUCCUACGGGAGGCAGCAGUGGGGAAUAUUGGACAAUGGGCGAAAGCCUGAUCCAGCCAUGCCGCGUGAGUGAUGAAGGUCUUCGGAUCGUAAAAGCUCUGUGGGAAGGGACGAAAAAGCCUAACCUAAUACGUUAGGUCUUGACGGUACCUUCUUAGCAAGCACCGGCUAACUCCGUGCCAGCAGCCGCGGUAAUACGGAGGGUGCAAACGUUGCUCGGAAUUAUUGGGCGUAAAGCGCACGUAGGCGGUCCGCUAAGUCGGAUGUGAAAGCCCUCGGCUUAACCGAGGAAGUGCAUCCGAAACUGACGGGCUAGAGUACGGAAGAGGGUUUCGGAAUUCCCGGUGUAGAGGUGAAAUUCGUAGAUAUCGGGAGGAACGACCAGUGGCGAAGGCGGAAAACCUGGGCCGAUACUGACGCUGAGGUGCGAAAGCGU